GCAAUGCCGCGUGCAGGAUGAAGGCCUUCGGGUUGUAAACUGCUUUUGUACGGAACGAAACGGUGAGCUCUAAUACAGUUUGCUAAUGACGGUACCGUAAGAAUAAGCACCGGCUAACUACGUGCCAGCAGCCGCGGUAAUACGUAGGGUGCGAGCGUUAAUCGGAAUUACUGGGCGUAAAGCGUGCGCAGGCGGUGAUGUAAGACAGAUGUGAAAUCCCCGGGCUCAACCUGGGACCUGCAUUUGUGACUGCAUCGCUAGAGUACGGUAGAGGGGGAUGGAAUUCCGCGUGUAGCAGUGAAAUGCGUAGAUAUGCGGAGGAACACCGAUGGCGAAGGCAAUCCCCUGGACCUGUACUGACGCUCAUGCACGAAAGCGUGGGGAGCAAACAGGAUUAGAUACCCUGGUAGUCCACGCCCUAAACGAUGUCAACUGGUUGUUGGGUCUUCACUGACUCAGUAACGAAGCU
rnacentral:rRNA from 1 species